rnacentral:rRNA from 1 species
AUUGAACGCUGGCGGCAUGCUUUACACAUGCAAGUCGAACGGCAGCGCGGGCUUCGGCCUGGCGGCGAGUGGCGAACGGGUGAGUAAUACAUCGGAACGUGCCCAGUAGUGGGGGAUAGCGCGGCGAAAGCCGGAUUAAUACCGCAUACGACCUGAGGGUGAAAGCGGGGGAUCUUCGGACCUCGCGCUAUUUGAGCGGCCGAUGGCAGAUUAGCUAGUUGGUGGGGUAAAGGCCUACCAAGGCGACGAUCUGUAGCUGGUCUGAGAGGACGACCAGCCACUCUGGGACUGAGACACGGCCCAGACUCCUACGGGAGGCAGCAGUGGGGAAUUUUGGACAAUGGGCGAAAGCCUGAUCCAGCAAUGCCGCGUGUGUGAUGAAGGCCUUCGGGUUGUAAAGCACUUUUGGCGGGAACGAAAAGGACUGUGCCAAUACCACGGUUCGAUGACGGUACCCGCAGAAUAAGCACCGGCUAACUACGUG